rnacentral:rRNA from 1 species
UACGUAGGGGGCUAGCGUUGUCCGGAAUCAUUGGGCGUAAAGAGCGUGUAGGCGGUUCGGUAAGUCCGCUGUGAAAGUCCAGGGCUCAACCCUGGAAUGCCGGUGGAUACUGUCGGGCUAGAGUCCGGAAGAGGCGAGUGGAAUUCCUGGUGUAGCGGUGAAAUGCGCAGAUAUCAGGAGGAACACCAAUAGCGAAGGCAGCUCGCUGGGACGGUACUGACGCUAAGGCGCGAAAGCGUGGGGAGCGAACAGG